GCCGGGCGCCGUGGCUGGUGCCUGUGAUCCCAGCGGCGGGGGAGGCUGAGGCCGGCGGAUCGCUUGAGCUCAGAAGUUCUGGGCUGCAGCGGGCUGUGCCGAGCGGGUGUCCGCACUGAGUUCGGCAUCGAUAUGGGGAUCCCGGGGAAGCUCGGGGUCCCCAGGUUGCCUAAGGAGGGGUGAACCGGCCCAGGCCGGGAACGGAGCAGGUCAAAGCUCCCGUGCCGAUCAGUAGUGGGAUCGCGCCUGUGAAUGGCCCCUGCAGCGUAGCCUGGGCGAGACAGUGAGACCCGGUCUCUU
rnacentral:SRP_RNA from 1 species